rnacentral:rRNA from 1 species
CCUCUASAUGCCUCCUGUACAAAGACUGACKCUCAGGUGCGAAAGCGURAGGAGCAAACAKGAUUAKAUACCCUGGUAGUCCACGCCRUAAACRAUGUCUAUUUGGAGGCUGUGUCCUUGAGACGUGGCUUCCGGAGCUAACGCGUUAAAUCGACCGCCUGGGGGAGUACGGSCSGCAGGUUAAAACUCAAAUGAAUUGACGGGGGCCCGCACRAGCGGUGGAGCAUGUGGUUUAUUUCGAUGCAACGCGRAGAACCUUACCUGGCCSUUGACAUGUCUGGAAUCCUGYAGAGAUGCGGGAGUGCCUUCGGAAUCAAACACAGGUGCUGCAUGGCUGUCGUCAGCUCGUGUCGUGARAUGGUGGGGUAAGUCCCGCAACGAUCGCAACCCCUGUCCUUGGUUGGCCRCACGUAAUGGUGGGAACUCGAGGAAACUGCCGGUGGAUCAACCGGAGAGGGUGGGGGUGACGUCAAUCAUCRUGGKCCGUUACGACAGACUAACCACGUGCUACAUGGCGCGUACGAGGCUCAGCUACAUAUGACAUCCAAAAGCCGUCGUAUCGGAUCGAUCUGCCACUCGACUCCGUUAAUUCGGGAGUCGCUAGUAAUCCCGAAUCAAAUGUUUACGGGUAAUACGUUCCGGGGCGCUUAKCAMGCGGCUGGUCACACAUGCAAGUGGGCGGACGMCGGAAGGRGAGAUC